CUCCGAGAAGCGGUUUCCCACCAGGGACCUGCGAGCUCCCGAUGUUACUGUCCCCCGGGCCUGCGGCUGGAGCCUCCGAAGCUCCGGAGUCGGGUCGCAGCCGGGCGCCACCACGGCUCUUCCCGUUCCGAAGUUGGCUAGCUCCGCGAUGUCAGGUUCGCAGGCUCCGCGACUGGAGCCAUCAGUGACAUUGGAUGAUCAGCCAUGAUCAUAUUGAAUGG